rnacentral:rRNA from 1 species
GUAACGUAGAAGACUAAGUGUUAUUCAUCUUUAGUAGGUUUUAAAGGGUACCUUAAGGACGGUAUUAUUAGCCCUAAAACAGGGUACCAGAGUAUUACUAUGAGUUUUAUAUGUUAGAAGGGGAGUAAGUUCAUUGGAGUGAGAGAUAAAAUUUUUUGAAAUUUACCAUGACGGACUGGGCGGCGGCGGAAAGCAACCUUU